rnacentral:rRNA from 1 species
UUGGAGGGCAAGUCUGGUGCCAGCAGCCGCGGUAAUUCCAGCUCCAAUAGCAUAUUAAAGUUGUUGCAGUUAAAAAGCUCGUAGUUGAAUUUCGGGGUUUAUCCGUUGGUCGGGCUUUUGGGUCUGUACUGGCGUGAUGAAUUCCUACCUUCUGAAUAACCAGCAUGUCAUUAAUUUGGUGCGCCGGGGAAGCAGGACUGUUACCUUGAAAAAAUUAGAGUGCUUAAAGCAGGCUAUUGCCUGAAUACAUUAGCAUGGAAUAAUGAAAUAGGACGGCAUGGUUCUAUUUUGUUGGUUUCUAGGAUCACCGUAAUGAUUAAUAGGGAUAGUUGGGGGCAUUAGUAUUCAAUUGUCAGAGGUGAAAUUCUUGGAUUUAUUGAAGACUAACUUCUGCGAAAGCAUUUGCCAAGGAUGUUUUCAUUAAUCAAGAACGAAAGUUAGGGGAUCGAAGACGAUCAGAUACCGUCGUAGUCUUAACCAUAAACUAUGCCGACUAGGGAUCGGACGAUGUUAAUUUUUUAAUGACUCGUUCGGCGCCUUACGGGAAAC